rnacentral:tRNA from 1 species
GGAGAGGUGGCUGAGCGGUCUAAGGCAGUGGCCCGCAAGGGUUGCUAUACGGCGAAAGCCCGUAUCGGAGGUUCGAAUCCUUCCCCUCUCCG